AUUGAACGCUGGCGGCAGGCCUAACACAUGCAAGUCGGACGGUAGCACAGAGAGCUUGCUCUUGGGUGACGAGUGGCGGACGGGUGAGUAAUGUCUGGGGAUCUGCCCGAUAGAGGGGGAUAACCACUGGAAACGGUAGCUAAUACCGCAUAACGUCGCAAGACCAAAGUGGGGGACCUUCGGGCCUCAUGCCAUCAGAUGUGCCCAGAUGGGAUUAGCUAGUAGGUGGGGUAAUGGCUCACCUAGGCGACGAUCCCUAGCUGGUCUGAGAGGAUGACCAGCCACACUGGAACUGAGACACGGUCCAGACUCCUACGGGAGGCAGCAGUGGGGAAUAUUGCACAAUGGGCGCAAGCCUGAUGCAGCCAUGCCGCGUGUGUGAAGAAGGCCUUCGGGUUGUAAAGCACUUUCAGCGAGGAGGAAGGCGUUGUAGUUAAUAACUGCAGCGAUUGACGUUACUCGCAGAAGAAGCACCGGCUAACUCCGUGCCAGCGCCGCCGUAAAA
rnacentral:rRNA from 1 species